UUCCAGACUCCUACGGGAGGCAGCAGUGAGGAAUAUUGCACAAUGGGGGAAACCCUGAUGCAGCGACGCCGCGUGAGCGAUGAAGUAUUUCGGUAUGUAAAGCUCUAUCAGCAGGGAAGAAAAUGACGGUACCUGACUAAGAAGCCCCGGCUAACUACGUGCCAGCAGCCGCGGUAAUACGUAGGGGGCAAGCGUUAUCCGGAUUUACUGGGUGUAAAGGGAGCGUAGACGGCUGUGCAAGCCAGAUGUGAAAGCCCGGGGCUCAACCCCGGGACUGCAUUUGGAACUGUGUGGCUGGAGUGUCGGAGAGGCAGGCGGAAUUCCUAGUGUAGCGGUGAAAUGCGUAGAUAUUAGGAGGAACACCAGUGGCGAAGGCGGCCUGCUGGACGAUGACUGACGUUGAGGCUCGAAAGCGUGGGGAGCAAACAGGAUUAGAUACCCCUGUA
rnacentral:rRNA from 1 species